GGAGACCGCACCUUCUAAAGGUUCCACGAUUUCUUAAGCAGUGCCGAUAUCUGGGGGCCAAGUGUUCCAGUGCACAAGCCUCUGAAGGACUUCACACUCAAACCAUAGCAGACAGGAGUUGAUCCCUGGGCGUGUGCACCUGAGUAUAUUGUCUAAGAAGACCAGAAGGUGGCACUGAAUCUCCUGGGCUGGAGUUACAGGUACCCCGAUUCUUUCAAAGAUGGCCAAAAUACCAUCUCUAUUUGGAGAUAAUAAUUAGUAUCAUCUUCACUGGCUUCCUCUUGAAUGUAGAGGGAAUUACUGGAUGAAUAAACAGGAACAUGGUGGCCAUGUGGCCUGUUGCUCCCAAGUACUACUUGGAGACCAGCCUGGCAUGGAAAUGACCAGAUGUUUGAAGCUGAGCUACUGGCAACAAAAAAAGUUGAGAUGAAACUGAAAGAGACCAGAGAUGACCACAGCAGUCUUCAGCAUCUGCCACUGCGCCUUCCUAGUCAGCAUUGCAGAAGAAGCCAUUUGAGCUAGGGAUUAUGCCGGUGUCAUUUCUCACAAAGUCAUCCAAUC